GAAAAUAUACAUUAGUAAAGACGAGCGUAGGGGUCCGCCUCGUCGGCAGUGAUGGAGGUAACAGGGAAAAGAAUAGAGGUAAGAGAAAGAAUAGAGGGCAGAAAAGAGCCGUCGCGUUCCUUUAAAAAUAAAUGUACAUUAGUAAAGCCGAGCGUAGGGGUCCGCCUCGCUGGCAGUGAUAGAGGUAACAGAGAAAAGAAAUAAAUGUACAUAGUAAAGCCGAGCGUAGGGGUCCGCCUCGCUGGCAUAGAUAGAGGUAACAGAGAAAAGAAAUAAAUGUACAUAGUAAAGCCGAGCGUAGGGGUCCGCCUCGUUGGCAUUGAAAGAGGUAACAGAGAAAAGAAAUAAAUGUACAUAGUAAAGCCGAGCGUAGGGGUCCGCCUCGCUGGCAUUGAUAGAGGUAACGGAGAAAAGAAAUAAAUGUACACAGUAAAGCCGAGCGUAGGGGUCCGCCUCGCUGGCAUUGAAAGAGGUAACAGAGAAAAGAAAUAAAUGUACACAGUAAAGCCGAGCGUAGGGGUCCGCCUCGCUGGCAUAGAUAGAGGUAACAGAGAAAAGAAAUAAAUGUACACAGUAAAGCCGAGCGUAGGGGUCCGCCUCGCUGGCAUAGAUAGAGGUAACAGAGAAAAGAAAUAAAUGUACAUAGUAAAGCCGAGCGUAGGGGUCCGCCUCACUGGCAUUGAAAGAGGUAACAGAGAAAAUAAAUAAAUGUACAUAGUAAAGCCGAGCGUAGGGGUCCGCCUCGCUGGCAUUGAUAGAGGUAACGGAGAAAAGAAAUAAAUGUACACAGUAAAGCCGAGCGUAGGGGUCCGCCUCGCUGGCAUUGAAAGAGGUAACAGAGAAAAGAAAUAAAUGUACACAGUAAAGCCGAGCGUAGGGGUCCGCCUCGCUGGCAUAGAUAGAGGUAACAGAGAAAAGAAAUAAAUGUACACAGUAAAGCCGAGCGUAGGGGUCCGCCUCGCUGGCAUAGAUAGAGGUAACAGAGAAAAGAAAUAAAUGUACAUAGUAAAGCCGAGCGUAGGGGUCCGCCUCGCUGGCAUUGAAAGAGGUAACAGAGAAAGAAAUAAAUGUACAUAGUAAAGCCGAGCGUAGGGGUCCGCCUCGCUGGCAUUGAAAGAGGUAACAGAGAAAGAAAUAAAUGUACAUAGUAAAGCCGAGCGUAGGGGUCCGCCUCGCUGGCAUUGAUAGAGGUAACAGAGAAAAGAAAUAAAUGUACAUAGUAAAGCCGAGCGUAGGGGUCCGCCUCGCUGGCAUUGAAAGAGGUAACAGAGAAAAGAAAUAAAUGUACAUAGUAAAGCCGAGCGUAGGGGUCCGCCUCGCUGGCAUUGAUAGAGGUAACAGAGAAAAGAAUCGAUGUAAAGGAAAGAAUAGAGGGCAGAAAAGAGAGCCAUCGCCUUCCUUCAUGGUAAAAGUACGUAGUAAAGCCGGGCGUAGGGUUCCGCCUCGCCGGCUGGAAUCGAGGAAACAAUUAAUCAAAUUGAGGGAACAAUAAAUUAAAAUCUGUGAAACAAUGAAAUAAGAUUAAGGGAACAAUGAAAUAAAUUGAGGGAACAACAAAAAUAAAGGAAACAAUGAAUACAAAUGAGGAAUCGAAUUAAAGGAAACAAUAAAGUAAAUAGAGGGAAACAACAAAUUAAAUCUAAAUGUGGAUUAGAAUGACGGAACGAAGAGUAAAUCGAGGGAACAAUAAAUUAGAGGGAACAAUAAAAUAAAUCAAACAUUGAAAUAGAUCGGGAAUAGUGGAAUAAAUCGAGGAAACAGAUUAAAUAGAGGGAACGAUAAAAUAAAUCGAACAGAGAAAAAGAUCGAGGGAACUGAGAAAUAGACCGAGGUAACAAUGAGCAGAGGGAAACAAAUAAAUAGAGGGAACAAUAAAUUCAAACGAACAAGAAAUAAAUCGAGGGAACUGAGAAAUAGACCUAGGUAACUAUUAAAUAGAGGGAACGAUAAAUUAAAUCGAACGAAGGAACUGAGAAAUAGACCGAGCCAACACUGAGAAGAAACGAUUAAAUUGAACAGAGAAAUAGAUCGAGGGAACUGAGAAAAAGACCGAGCUAACAAUGAGCAGAGGGAAACAAUUAAAUAGGGGAACUAUGAAUUAAAUCAAACGGAGACAUAGAUCGAGGAAACAGUGAAAGAUUGAGAACGUGAAAUAAAUUAAGGGAAAAUUAAUAAAGGGAACAAUUAAAUAAAUAGAGGGAACAAAAAAUUAAAUAGAGGAAACAAUAAAUUAAAUGGAGGGAACAAUAAAUAAAGUUGAACAGUGAAACAGAUCCAGGGAAGGAUGAAUAAAUCAAGUAAAUAAUACAUUAAAUAGAGGGAGCAAUAAAAUAAAUCAAGGGAAGAAUACAUUUAAUAGAGGAAAUUAUAAAUUAAACCGAGGGAACCAUGUAUUAAUUUGAUAUUAGAUCGGUCUCACCGGCAGGGAGGGAGGGUGGCCGCGCUGUCUAAGAGCCAAGCAAUCGCGCUGGGAGACGCCUGCGCUGAACCAGGGAU